rnacentral:rRNA from 1 species
UACAGAGGUCUCAAGCGUUGUUCGGAUUCAUUGGGCGUAAAGGGUGUGUAGGUGGCGCCGUAAGUCGGGUGUGAAAUUUCGGAGCUUAACUCCGAAACUGCAUUCGAUACUGCCGUGCUUGAGGACUGGAGAGGAGACUGGAAUUUACGGUGUAGCGGUGAAAUGCGCAGAUAUCGUAAGGAACACCAGUGGCGAAGGCGGCUACCUGGACCAGCACUGACACUGAAGCACGAAAGCGUGGGGAGCAAACAGG